rnacentral:rRNA from 1 species
GAUGAACGCUGGCGGCGUGCCUAAUACAUGCAAGUCGAGCGAAUGGAUUAAGAGCUUGCUCUUAUGAAGUUAGCGGCGGACGGGUGAGUAACACGUGGGUAACCUGCCCAUAAGACUGGGAUAACUCCGGGAAACCGGGGCUAAUACCGGAUAACAUUUUGAACCGCAUGGUUCGAAAUUGAAAGGCGGCUUCGGCUGUCACUUAUGGAUGGACCCGCGUCGCAUUAGCUAGUUGGUGAGGUAACGGCUCACCAAGGCAACGAUGCGUAGCCGACCGGAGAGGGUGAUCGGCCACACUGGGAGUGAGACACGGCCCAGACUCCUACGGGAGGCAGCAGUAGGGAAUCGUCCGCAAUGGACGAAAGUCUGACGGAGCAACGCCGCGUGAGUGAUGAAGGCUUUCGGGUCGUAAAACUCUGUUGUUAGGGAAGAACAAGUGCUAGUUGAAUAAGCUGGCACCUUGACGGUACCUAACCAGAAAGCCACGGCUAACUACGUGCCAGCCGCCGCAGUAA